ensembl:lncRNA
CAAGUUUGAUGGAAAACUCUGGUGUGUGGAUGCAUCUCAAGAAGAUGGGUCAUUAGGCAGACUUGUCAACGACAACCACAUCAGUCCAAGUGCUAAGAUGAAAAUAUUAAAUAUCAAUGGAAAGCCCCAUCUAUGCUUAUUUGCAAGCAGAGACAUAAGUCCAGGCGAAGAAAUAGACUAUAAUUAUGGUGACUCGGAUUGGCUCUGGAGAUGCAAGACUGAGACCAGCCAGAUUCAGAAGACUGUGAGCUGCCUAAAGCCGCAACCAAACAGCUUUCCAAACAAUGAUCUGGACCUGAAACAUCCAGAGCCUGAAAGGGAUCUUGAUGAAGAAAUGCCUCAGCAAGGCUCAGAAGCCAUGCAUUCUUCUUCAGUGCAAGAUUUUGAAGAGACUGAGACCAGCCAGAUUCAGAAGACUGUGAGCUGCCUAAAGCCGCAACCAAACAGCUUUCCAAACAAUGAUCUGGACCUGAAACAUCCAGAGCCUGAAAGG